CAGAGCCGCGGGAAUACGAAGGGGGCUAGCGUUGCUCGGAAUUACUGGGCGUAAAGGGAGCGUAGGCGGAUGAAUUAGUCAGGGGUGAAAUCCCGGGGCUCAACCUCGGAACUGCCUUUGAUACUGUUCAUCUUGAGUAUGGGAGAGGUGUGUGGAACUCCGAGUGUAGAGGUGAAAUUCGUAGAUAUUCGGAAGAACACCAGUGGCGAAGGCGACACACUGGCCCAUUACUGACGCUGAGGCUCGAAAGCGUGGGGAGCAAACAGGAUUAGAUACCCCAGUAGUCCCUGUCUCUUAUACA
rnacentral:rRNA from 1 species